AAAAGUCCAUAAUUGAUGGUAUGGCAUCAGGUUUCAGUCUGUUGGACUUAACCCUCACCAGUGACGCUGUUGUAUCAGAAGCACAGCUCUCUAAAUAGUCUGUCGCUAAAAAAUACAGACUCGAAAUCCAGGGGCUGUCGGAGGGCU